rnacentral:lncRNA from 1 species
CUUCCCUGUGCUCUGGCCUGGCACUUGUUACAGAAUGCCAGACCUGGCACCCACGCAGGGCUUCUGGACCAGACACUCACAGUGGGACACUCUUACCUCCUCCAGGACUUAGAAGGCAUAUGUAACUAACCUUCCUGAGUCUCUUCCUGAGCCUGCCUCUGCAACUCGUGGUCACUGGCUGGAAGGGCCAUGGUGGAAAACGGCAUUUGUUCUGGAUGGUUCAGAUGGCGGCAUGUUAAUGAAGAGUCUCCCUGUGGAAGAAAUAUGCUGGCUAGCUGGUGGGAGACUCUGCAGUUGACCUUGAAUUCCCUUGACCUCCCGUGUCCAGACAAAGAUUUCCCACUCCGUGCUACUGCUGAAGUCUCCGACCAAUGAAGCAGACAAGGGAGAACCAAUCCCCCUCCCACUCAUUCUUCUGCAGCCAACAGCUGGAUUGAUCUCCAAACAGGUCGGAAGAGAUGCGUAAUUGAAUUAAAAGCAUAAUAAAUUGAAGCCAACUCGUUCG